rnacentral:lncRNA from 1 species
AUAACUAAACAUGCAACUAACAUCCUAAACGAAUGCAUUUUUUUUUUGAUUUUUCCUUUCUUUUAUGGGGGCGAUCAAAAUAAGAUAUCGAGAACAUCACGGCAACAAAUCAGGCAAUAUAUCAUCCAUGUCCAUUUUGGAAAUAAAUUGACGAAUCGUAUCUCGCGCAUGAGAUCGGAUUGGCCAAUUUUUAAAUAAAAUCACGAAUCGAAUCUCGAGCGUGAGAUCGGAUUGGUGAUUUUUCCGUACGAUUGCGGGUCGUAUUUCGAGCGUGAAAUCGGACCGUCAAUCAUACGCACGUUGCGAAAUUAGGAAAAUUUCCUAAUUCAUGAGGGAUUAAGAGAUCUUUUGGAUAUGGCAAUAUCGAUCAAACAUUCAAAGAAAGAUUGCGAUAUUACGAAUUAGGCAGCGAGAUAUAUGAAAAUCAAAUUGAUCGAGAGUCUUACCUAAUUCACGAUGUCACACGGGUGACGUCUCCAAAUUCGGAUGGAUGAUGAGUCACGGGAAUCACGGUGAGGAAGACUGACGGUCCGUAGCAUGCAAGGGUGCACGGUAAUUGCUGGACGUAUUCCACAAGUCUGAGUACUUUGGAAUUCUAUACGAGAACUUCAGCUUAUCUACAGGCGAUAGAAUGUUCUUGGACUUGUUUAUUUUAUUCUUCAAUCCACCACUCAGCUUUUGUCUUCUUCUCUUCUACCAAAUCUCGGCAAUUGAUGGUGCCACUGUGUGGGAUGGACGCUUUGAUGUCCACCAGAGAAGACAGUGAGCUUGCUGGCCGUGAGAGAGAUCUUCAACAAACCUGCAAAACUGAAUCAAAUCCCAAUUGGAAGGACUGAAAAGAAAUCGUGGGAUCGCUAGAAAUUGAAGAAUAGCUCUCGGAAAGGUGUUGGCUUCAUGCUGGGAUCGUCUAGAAUAGACACGUCGAAGAUGCAGGAGUGCGCCGGGACUCCUUUAAGGUUUGCUGGAUUCGCUGGUCGUCUUGGUUGAGCAGCUCUCGGUGGCAGGUCCAGCAGCAAUUGGUCGUCACAGAAAGUUUGGCAACGAUGCAAGAAGGUAGCAGCGAAUCACCAUGGACUUGCGGUGCAGCAGGGACGUUUCUUUCAAUGUGUUCUCCCUAAAAUUGCCGACGAUGGUCGGGCAUUGAUAAUUGCAAGAACAUCGUGGGGCAUGGCUGCUCAGUGUUGGCCUGCAAUGGAAAAGCAAAGGCACUCUCUCUUCCCCUCUCGUGUGUUCUCUGUAUAAUUCGGAAUCCCCCCCCUUUUCCCUCGAACAUUACGCUUUUUAUACUGGCCGAAUAUGAACUUCAAAAAGGGAAAUUUGAAUAUAGGAAAGAAGUCCACGUACUGACUUCCCUCUUUUGUGAGGGUUUAUAUUUCCUUUGUACGCAUUGCGGAUCCAUAUAUCCUCAUUGAAUAUAUAUUUUAAUAAUGCUAAUCCUUCUUGCCCUUUUUGAUGUUUUUGUCCGCACAUUUAUAAUCACAAGAUCAACAAAAACAAUUCUUUUCUUUCCAAAUACCAACUCACAAUUGAUUGAACAUUGCCAAAAGUUCGGGAUCGUAAUAAAUUUUUCUCGGAUUCUGAAUAUUUUAAAGAUGAGCUCGCAAUAUUUUUGUCGCACUUGCCCUUUCCAAAGAUAUUGAAAAAUCCCCCAACAUAUCCUGGAAAAAUUUCAAAUCUCCAUUUUUCACGAGAUAAUUUUCGAUCAUAAAAAAAAAGCUUGGGCCAAUUUGCUCCCUUCGUGGGCUUAGUCCAGCCCGUCAAUUUAAAGCUCAAAACCACCAAUUCGAACUCAUCCGCCACCGGUCCAAUAAACAAAUGCAAAAAAUGCAAAUGCACCUAAAUCUAUAUGCUAUGCAAUUAAUUAUUUUUUAGGGAUAAAAUUAACCCCUGAUUUUUAAUGCAAUAAAUGACUAAUCAGGUCGCCAAAAUUUAGGUGUCAACAG